rnacentral:tRNA from 1 species
GAGGGUAUAGCUCAGUGGUAGAGUUCAUGCCUAGCAUGCAUGAGGUCCUGGGUUCAAUCCCCAGUAUCUCA